UACGUAGGGGGCUAGCGUUGUCCGGAAUCAUUGGGCGUAAAGAGCGUGUAGGCGGCCCGGUAAGUCCGCUGUGAAAGUCCAGGGCUCAACCCUGGAAUGCCGGUGGAAACUGUCGAGCUAGAGUCCGGAAGAGGCGAGUGGAAUUCCUGGUGUAGCGGUGAAAUGCGCAGAUAUCAGGAGGAACACCAAUGGCGAAGGCAGCUCGCUGGGACGGUACUGACGCUGAGACGCGAAAGCGUGGGGAGCAAACAGG
rnacentral:rRNA from 1 species